rfam:Schistosoma haematobium scaffold946_4, whole genome shotgun sequence.
AUCCAGAUGACAAGUCCCGAAUAGGACGAAUCACGCGUCCUGGAU